rnacentral:sRNA from 1 species
CAAGAAUAUAUAUUGAAUCUUUUCCAACGUUAUGUUGAUGAAGGUUUACAUUUUAUCAAUAAAAAGUGCAGCCAAGCAAUUCCACAAGUGGACAUCAGCAAAGUUACUACACUCUGUUGCUUAUUGGAGUCCUUGAUACUUGGGAAAGAUGGAGUUAACUUGGCAAUGGAACAAACAAAAUUGAACACUAUACUAUGUCAGACUUUUGUAUUCUGUUAUUUGUGGUCCUUGGGUGGAAACCUAACCGAAAACUACUGUGAUUCUUUUGAUACAUUUAUUAGAACACAAUUUGAUGAUAAUCCUGAUGCCAGGCUUCCCAGUUCUGGUGAUCUGUGGAGCAUUCAUAUGGACUUUGACACCAAACGGCUGGAUCCCUGGGAACGAAUCAUACCUACCUUCAAAUACAACCGAGAUGUUCCAUUUUUUGAAAUACUUGUCCCCACAACUGACACAGUGCGCUAUGGGUAUCUAAUGGAAAAACUACUGGCAGUCAAGCAUUCUGUGUUGUUUACUGGAAUAACUGGAGUGGGCAAGUCUGUGAUCGCAAAAGGAUUGCUAAAUAAAAUUCAAGAAUCAGCUGGCUAUGUCCCUGUUUAUCUGAAUUUUUCUGCUCAAACUUCAUCUGCAAGGACACAAGAGAUCAUUGAGUCAAAACUGGAGAGAAAAAGAAAAAAUAUUCUAGGAGCACCGGGAAACAAACGAAUUGUGAUUUUUGUUGAUGAUUUAAACAUGCCCAGACUUGAUCGCUAUGGCUCUCAGCCUCCGAUUGAAUUACUUCGGCAGUAUCAAGAUUUUGGGGGAUUUUAUGACAGAAACAAACUGUUUUGGAAAGAAAUACAGGAUGUAACAAUCGUAUCAGCGUGUGCACCUCCAGGUGGUGGCCGCAACCCUGUGACUCCCCGCUUCAUCAGACACUUCAGCAUGCUGUGCCUCCCAAUGCCCUCAGAGCACAGUCUGAAACAGAUUUUUCAGGCCAUCUUAAAUGGUUUCCUGAGUGACUUUCCACCAGCUGUAAAGCAAACUGCAUCAAGCAUUGUAGAAGCCUCAGUUGAGAUUUAUAACAAAAUGAGUGUUGACCUCCUGCCAACACCCACCAAGUCCCAUUAUGUCUUUAACUUGAGGGACUUAUCCAAAUGUGUGCAAGACAAACAUUUUGGAAUUGCAAUUGACCUGGAAUAUUUUUUGAAUAAGCCCAUCAUAUUUGGAGAUUUCAUUAAGUUUGGAGCAGAUAAAGCUGAUCGGAUUUAUGAUGACAUGCCCGAUAUAGAGAAAAUUGCAAAUGUUCUACAGGACUAUCUUGAUGAUUAUAAUCUCACAAAUCCCAAAGAAGUAAAGUUGGUGUUCUUCCAGGAUGCUAUAGAACAUGUUUCAAGGAUUGCUCGGAUGAUACGUCAAGAAAGAGGCAAUGCCCUGCUUGUCGGAGUAGGAGGCACAGGAAAGCAGUCACUCACGAGACUUGCAGCUCAUAUAUGCGGUUACAAAUGUUUGCAGAUUGAACUCAGCCGGGGAUAUAAUUAUGAUAGUUUUCAUGAAGACCUGAGGAAGUUGUACAAAAUGGCUGGUGUAGAAGACAAGAAUAUGGUUUUCCUUUUCACUGACACCCAGAUUGUAGUGGAGGAGUUCCUAGAAGAUAUAAAUAACAUCCUGAACUCCGGUGAAGUGCCUAAUUUAUUUGAAAAGGAUGAACUGGAGCAGGUUUUAGCAGCCACCAGACCAAGAGCAAAAGAAGUAGGAAUUUCCGAGGGGAACAGAGACGAGGUAGGACGUGCCAGAGUAGUUAUGUGGCUUUAUCACAAAAAGGUUUCUUCACCUUUUAUUUAACCAUUCACUGAUUCCCUGAAGGGGUCCAUGAAUAGAAUUUUUUUCAAUAUAA